CAUUCUGUGUUUGUCCUGAUUGGCUGGCAACUUAGAACUUUUUAAAAGAGGCAAAGGCAGAGGAGAACAAAAGAAGGAGGAAGUAACUUGCAGAAUGCUGAGAAAGAGCUGAGAUCUAACUGUGCUACCCAGCCUGGAGUCCAGUGGCUUUUCACAGGUGCAAGCAUGGCACACUACAGCCUCCUGGACUCAAGAGAUCCUCCGAACUCAGCCUCCUGAGUAGCUUGGACUCCAGGCAUACACCACUGCUCCCAGAAGAUUCUGUUAAUCCUUCAUCCGGGUCACCGCUAUCUGACCCAGCCCCCUGCUGCUGCCGUGCACAGACAGCACAUUCACUGCUGGAGGCUACUGUAAGAGAUGAAAUGGCUGGAAGUCCAGCAGGCAACCUGGGCCAUCAUGUUACCUUAAGAAGGGAUGCCCCACACUGAGAUGGUGGAGCCAAAGGUGGAAGGCACCUGAUGUCCAGGAGGGAUGAAGGCAACUCUGUCAGCCCCAGCAGUGGAGGCAACAAAAAAAUGGCUUGGGAGUUGGAGCCAGAUAUAAAAGCUGCAGACACGGGCCCAACAGUCAGAGGGGUGGCAAACAACAGAUGAAAUGGAUCAGGGAAGAACAGAGGCCCUGGAAGGAAAACACACUUCAAACACCAAGAGGUGGGAGAGUGUUACUAUGGCAAUGCAGGGCUUGGGGCUGGAGCGGCAGAGGGGCUGCUGAGAGCCAGUGAUGAAAACAAAACACAAAGGGAGGAGAUGCCCAAUCUGGAGCUCUGCCAGAGCAGGGUGGGCACCAACUCUCUCUCCUCAUCCCUGGCUUGCCGGCCGCUCCAGCCCCUCCAACUCCCAACGAUAGAAUGCAACUCUCAAAGCCACAGCAGAGCACAGAACAGCCCUGACCUGGCCUCCCCAGCCCUUUCAGCAAGUACAGCCCUGGCUUUCAUUUAUCUGGGAAGGAAAAUCGUGCUCUCCUGCCUGCCUCUAGGACUUAGCUUCUUCCGAGCCCACCAUUUGGAAUUGUGUUUCCCUCCUCUGCUGCAGCAUUGAGAAGAGACAUUAUCUUCUUCCUUCCUUCUUUUUUACU
rnacentral:lncRNA from 1 species